AACAUGUCUCAUUCAGAAGGGCCUUAAAUGGGAAACUAGGAAUUAUUUCAUCAGUCUAUAAGCUGAGGGUGAUUCAAACUCAGUUCAUUUCUCAAAUAGCACAAAGCAGAAGCAUACAUCUACGAAGACCUUGAUAGACAGAGAAAAUAGAGUGCUAAAAUGACACAGGUCACUAAAUAGUCAAAAAUCCGUAAGCCUUGCUGAUAACGUGUGGAGAUGAUGAAGCGAGCAAGGAAGUCAAACAGAUCAUGGGAUGGAAACAAAAUGCUAAGGAGAGAAGCAGAUACACAGAAGGGAUGAUUACUGCAUUUCUCAUCUCGGGGGGUGCGGGAGGAGAGAACAGUAAUGAUAAAGAAGUCUGCGGUUGGUGAGCGGCUCCAACACGGCGAAGAGAGCUGCCGCAGCACGGAUGCCUGCUCCCUCCUCUUGGGCUACCUCGCAGUGCCAUCUGCUGGCCCCACGUCUCGCUCGAGUGGAAAUUUCCGAAGCUGCUGCUCUGUGCCAGACACAUUGAGACCGCUCUGCUGUCUUCGCUCCCCCGAAAACAUAAAACCACCCUGAGGGCUGGGAGAGGUUAACUGGAGAAGGAAACAGAAA
ensembl:lncRNA